AACUUUCAACAACGGAUCUCUUGGUUCUGGCAUCGAUGAAGAACGCAGCAAAAUGCGAUAAGUAAUGUGAAUUGCAGAAUUCAGUGAAUCAUCGAAUCUUUGAACGCCCCUUGCGCCCGCUCGUAUUCCGGCGGGCAUGCCUGUUCGAGCGUCAUUU
rnacentral:rRNA from 1 species